rnacentral:rRNA from 1 species
AGUGAACGCUGGCGGUAGGCCUAACACAUGCAAGUCGAACGGCAGCACAGUAAGAUCUUGCUCUUACGGGUGGCGAGUGGCGGACGGGUGAGGAAUACAUCGGAAUCUACUUUUUCGUGGGGGAUAACGUAGGGAAACUUACGCUAAUACAGCAUAAGACCUACGGGUGAAAGCAGGGGAUCUUCGGACCUUGCGCGAUUGAAUGAGCCGAUGUCGGAUUAGCUAGUUGGCGGGGUAAAGGCCCACCAAGGCGACGAUCCGUAGCUGGUCUGAGAGGAUGAUCAGCCACACUGGAACUGAGACACGGUCCAGACUCCUACGGGAGGCAGCAGUGGGGAAUAUUGGACAAUGGGCGCAAGCCUGGUACAGCCAUACCGCGUGGGUGAAGAAGGCCUUCGGGUUGUAAAGCCCUUUUGUUGGGAAAGAAAAGCAGCAGGUUAAUACCCCGCGGUUCUGACGGUACCCAACGAAUAAGCACCGGCUAACUUCGUG